rnacentral:ncRNA from 1 species
GCAAAGUAGAAUUAUGCGCGUCAAGUGUCCGAUGAACGGGGAGUUGUCAUCGGGACGAAAAGCCCGCCGUAUAAACGGCAGACGGUUUGCGGUGCAUAGUUCGCAUCCCGUUG